UCCCAAUGAUCCAUUUCCUUUUUUCACCAAUUUCUAUUGUUUUAAACUUAGAUUUAAAACACAAUGUGUUUUUAUGUUUCUGAGUAUAGGUACUCACCUUAAGCUUGAUGACAAAUCAUAGUGUGAUGCACUGAGUUGUGUUACCUUUUGUGAUCUUGUUGCUGUUAACUUCUUUUUUAUGUAACUAUUAUUGAUGACUUCUUACCUUGUUUAAACCUUUUUUUUAUUUUUGCCUUUUUCACUUUUUCAAAAGACGUUGUGCAAACAUACCGUUGGUACGAGUGAUUUUAAUACAAAUCUUUACCUAAACGCUUUAGUAAAGUACUCUUGGUAUUUUUGUAUCAAAUAAGUCACUAAACACAAAGUAAAUGUAACAUUACUAAAUAUAUGUGUGCAGUGGUAUCAAAUAAUACAUUACACUCUAGUGUUUACUGAAAUCUCUGUUUACAUAUGUACAUUGCUAUGAAAUAAGUGACAAGUUUACUUAAAUCUCUAUUAACAAGUGCACAUUGUUAUUGAAUAAG
rnacentral:lncRNA from 1 species